ACAGUCCCUGACAUUCCUAAGUGUCAAGAUACAGGCGGUUUGUGUUUUCUACCAGUGCCGCCCACCAGCUGAGUUCUUAUUCGGCAACAAUCAGACAUUUACCACCCAGCAUCCGCUACCCACUGCUGUGAAGAGAAGUAGGUGGAGAGUGAAGUGAUGCACAACAAAGUGAAGAUCCUUAUGGUGGGCCCCCCUGAGGAAUUUGCCUAACUCGAGAAAUUCCUAAGUCAAGUACGGAGCUGGCCUAGCGGUGUCAGGUAGCGCCUAGGAACUCGAGAAAUUCCUAAGUCAAGUACGGAGCUGGCCUAGCAGUGUCAGGUAGCGCCUAGGACAGAAAAACAUGGCGCCGUAGAAGACCGCAGACGUCACCUGAAGAUUUUUCGUCCUCGGAAAGACGUGCUGUGUGAUUAUAAUGACGAAAAAUUCGUCAAGAUGAAUUGCUUGGAUUGUGCAUGGGUCAUAUUUGUGACAGACAUGUUACGAGACACCCUUCAAAGUCCGACACAGAGGAACACCUGAGAUGAAGGUGGUGAUUUUACUAAGACAGGUGAUGGAACUCCUCAAAUGUCAUCUUGGCAAGAUCCUGCAAUGAUGCAGAGGAUGGGUGCACUGGAAGUUAUUGUCCCUCUGCAGCAGUUCGAUAUUCUGGCUUUCCUGCCAUAGCUUGCUGUACCAACUGUGGGAGAGAGGAGCAUACUGAUUGCUUUUUUUUUUUUUUUUUUUUUAUACUUAGGAGAGCAUAUUUUUGUUAUAAUAUGUUUGUGUUAUUUGAACCCUACACUUAUUAAUGAUUGACUGUAAUAUAACCAUACAAGGACUAAAUUAACCAAAACGCAGGAACUAGGUGUAUGUCCCUAGUAAAACUUGGUAUGACGUUUACAAAUCUGCACUUCCAAGACUAGUCUGUUACUGCAUGUGUAUACAAUUAUUUUAUAUAUCUAAUUUGUAUUUAAGUGAAAUCAUUUGGUCCAAUAUGAAAAUAAAAUCUGUAAAGAAAUAAACAAGAUAUGUAAAUUUCUAUCCCCAUGAUCUUCAAUAUACCGCGCCGUGGUACAGUGGAUCUGUGCGUGCUUUGGGAUCCGAGGGGUCUCCAAGCACACGGGUUCGAAUCCUGUCUACGGUCUGAGUGUAGGUUGGGCUUCCUCACUCGGGCCAACGGUUUCCUAACGGGUGGGCUUUGAAAUAGGAGGUACCCUUAAUAAGUAUCCCCUUUAGCCCAUAAAUUCCCGUGAAAAGCCCACAUGGUAUAAAAAAAAAAAAAAAAUUACCAUCAAUGUUACUUAGCGCUAGUUGGUAGAAAAAAAAAAAAAACUUGUUUACAUAUGAAUAAUGAAAGGUAUAAUGAAUCUCAAAUACCAAUGUAUAGUAGCAAACUUAUAUCCUUAGG